rnacentral:rRNA from 1 species
GAUGAACGCUAGCGGCAGGCUUAAUACAUGCAAGUCGAGGGGCAGCAGUUUUGUAGCAAUACAGAAGCUGGCGACCGGCAACCGGCUGCGGAACACGUACGCACACUUCCUUUAACUGGAAGAUAGCCCACCGAAAGGUGGAUUAAUACUCCAUAACAUAUUGAAGAGGCAUCUUUUUGAUAUUUAAGCUCCGGCGGUUAAAGAUGUGCGUGCGUCUGAUUAGGUAGUUGGCGGGGUAACGGCCCACCAAGCCUUCGAUCAGGAGCUGAUGUGAAAGCGUGAUCAGCCACACGGGGACUGAGACACCGGCCCGACUCCUACGGGAGGCAUCAGUGAGGAAUAUUGGUCAAUGGGCGCAAGUCUGAACCGGCCAUGCCGCGUGGAGAAUGAAGGCCCUCUGGGUUGUAAACUUCUUUUCUUUGGGACGAAACCCCUGUUUCUACGGGGACUGACGGUACCAGAGGAAUAAGCACCGGCUAACUCCGUGCCAGCAGCCGCCGUAAUAC